rfam:Euryarchaeota archaeon TMED141 MHASMcontig_335464, whole genome shotgun sequence.
CCUGGUGACAAUAGCAACAGAUAAACACUCGAUCCCAUCCCGAACUCGUAAGUGAAAGCUGUUAGCGCCGAUGGUACUUUGUCUUAAGACAUGGAAGAGUAGGUCGUUGCCAGGA